UACGUAGGUGGCAAGCGUUGUCCGGAUUUACUGGGCGUAAAGAGCGCGCAGGCGGUCGUCCAAGUCGCGUGUGAAAGCCCCCGGCUCAACUGGGGAGGGUCACGCGAUACUGGUCGACUCGAAGGCAGGAGAGGGUAGUGGAAUUCCCGGUGUAGUGGUGAAAUGCGUAGAUAUCAGGAAGAACACCCGUGGCGAAGGCGGCUCUCUGGGACGGUAUUGACGCUGAGACGCGAAAGCGUGGGGAGCGAACAGG
rnacentral:rRNA from 1 species